CCCCUCCCUACAGAGGAUUUGAACAUACACAUCUUUCGUGCACUUCAUCCCAAGUUUGAAUCUGUGGUCUCUGCAGUGAUGGAUCGUAGGGAACCAAUCUCUUAUACUGAACUUCAUGGGCUGCUCCUCAGCUGUGAGU